UGAUGAUUGCGAGAGAGAGAGAGAGAGAGAUUAGGGUUUGGUUGGGUGGUUGGAUAUGUGUAUUAAUUUAGCGUCUUUUGACCUCUCUCUCUCUCUCUCUCUCUCUCUCUUGUUUAAUA
rnacentral:miRNA from 1 species